rfam:Nicotiana attenuata strain TT chromosome 10, whole genome shotgun sequence.
GAAAGCCGUAUUCGAUGAAAGUCGUAUGUACGGCUUGGAGGGAGAUCUUUCAUCAGAUGGUAAUACUAAAAUUAUAUUGAUUUAUAGAUUGCAUACGAAAUGAGCAAGUGGAACGAUAAGCAGUCGAGCUUUGGUUAGUUGGCUUCGAGAGGUGAGUAGUAAUCUUAU